GCAAAUGAGCGCAAACACUUCAAAAUAUGCGCAAAGUGCUUUCAUGCAUCAUUUACAUCUAUGUCACGUUUGUGUAUUAUUCGGACGGGAAUUUGAUAGAACUUGCUUACCUAUUCAUCUGCUAUAUUUUUCUUUCAGGUGGUCUAGGUCCUGGUUUUGAGAGCUGAAGAUGACUGGAGCCAGAGAUGGAGAGGGAAACCAACCCUUAUAUCUCCUUCUGAGUCUGAAGAAGGAUCUCGAUCUGAAACGUCACCCAUUCCUUCUCUCCAGAGAUGCUGCUUGUCCCGCUGAGUUACUCCAGGAAUAGAUUACAAAACUGUAUAUCUUUGGAGUGUGGGAGGAAACCGGAGCACUGGAGAAAACCCAUGCAGACACAGGGGGAAUAUACAAGCACCAUGCAGACAGCCCCCAUCGUCAGGAUCGAACCCGUGUCUCUGGCGCUGUAAGGCAGCAACUCUACCGCUGUGCCACUGUGCUGCCCUCAUUCCACCUUUCUCUCCAAAUUGGAGAUGGUGCAUCUUGCACAAAUUCAAGUUGCUGCGGUUUGGAUGCUACGAUAUUUUUAAUGACUUGACUAAAUUUAAUUCAUGCAACAGUGUUUAAAAAAAUACAACAUGCACACCAUGAAAGGUUUCUAAUUCAUCAUUCAUUCACCCACAUUGAAAUUCAUCCUUAUUCAUUACCACACACUGUGAUAAACUUGAGUCCAUUUCCAGUAUGGAGCUAUGUCAUGCUCUGGCAUGUUUUUGAUGUAAAAUUUUUCACACAGUUGUGUCUCCAAGUGUUUACCAAAUGUGGUCAAAGCAGUUAUGCAGCUGCACUGCAUCAUCCUUGCUUGCUCUUUUACUUUUACUACCCAAUUUUAAGAUGAAGUGGUAACAUAUGUAUAAUGAAAAUCUGCAAAUAAAUGUCGGAAACCUAAA